UCCGUAGGUGAACCUGCGGAAGGAUCAUUACCACGCGAUCCAAAAAAUCCACAUCCCUAAACUUGUAAAUCUUGUAAUAUAUCCUUCUGUGCAGGGUAAAGCACAGUGAUAUUAUAUGAACUUAAUUGUUUUGUAAUAUCAUCUUUUAACUAAAACCCUAAUCACUAUAACAAAUUCCUCUGAUAAAUAUAUGUAGAUUGCAAAUCUAUUGUAACUACAUACAAAUUAUAAUCGCUUACAACUUUCAGCAACGGAUAUCUUGGCUCUUGCGACGAUGAAGAACGCAGCGAAAUGCGAUACGUAAUGCGAAUUGCAGAACCAGCGAGUCAUCAAAUCUUUGAACGCACAUGGCACUUCAUCCGUGAAGUAUACUUGUUUCAGUGUCAUUUUGUCUCACAUUCUCUAAAAGGGUUUGUGGUCUAUGAGUCUCAUGGAGUAUUUAUUGUUUAUACCCACGUGAUUUGAAAUAUGAGAUAAAACCCGCAUCUAGAGCGUUUGAAUUGGAUUUAUUUCCAAUUCAAGCUUGCGAUAUGCGCGGUGUGGUAGAUCUGCUUGUCAGAUUCACACCCCCGCGUCUCUAUUACAAGUAUACACCUGUAGAAAUAGCGUUUGGUUUAAGCAUUUCUAUAUAUAGAUUUGCUGCUCUCUAUAAACUUCUUCAACCUUUGACCUGAAAUCAAGCAAGAGGACCCCCUGAAUUUAAGCAUAUUACUAAGGGGAGGAAAAGAAACUAACAAGGAUUCCCAAAGUAACGGCGAGUGAACUGGGAAAAGCUCAACUUGUAAAUCGAUGUAAACAUCGAAUUGUAGUCUAGAGGAGUUAUACUAGGUGUUAUUCUUUCAUGAACUUUUCUCGAAUGAGAGAUCAAAGAGGGUAAUAAUCCCGUAAAUGAUUGAAUAUGCCGUACAGUAAGCUUCCAACGAGUCGAGUUGCUUGAGAGUGCAGCUCUAAUUGGGUGGUAAAUUCCAUCUAAAGCUAAAUAUAAGCAAGAGACCGAUAGCGAACAAGUACCGUGAGGGAAAGAUGAAAAGAACUUUGAAAAGAGGGUUAAAAGUGCUUGAAAUUGCUGAAAGGGAAACGCUUGAAGU
rnacentral:rRNA from 1 species